UGGGGAAUAUUGGACAAUGGGCGCAAGCCUGAUCCAGCCAUGCCGCGUGAGUGAUGAAGGCCCUAGGGUUGUAAAGCUCUUUCACCGGUGAAGAUAAUGACGGUAACCGGAGAAGAAGCCCCGGCUAACUUCGUGCCAGCAGCCGCGGUAAUACGAAGGGGGCUAGCGUUGUUCGGAAUUACUGGGCGUAAAGCGCACGUAGGCGGACAUUUAAGUCAGGGGUGAAAUCCCGGGGCUCAACCCCGGAACUGCCUUUGAUACUGGGUGUCUAGAGUUCGAGAGAGGUGAGUGGAAUUCCGAGUGUAGAGGUGAAAUUCGUAGAUAUUCGGAGGAACACCAGUGGCGAAGGCGGCUCACUGGCUCGAUACUGACGCUGAGGUGCGAAAGCGUGGGGAGCAAAACAGGAUUAGAUACCCUGGUAGUCCACGCCGUAAAACGAUGGAAGCCAGCUGUCGGCAAGUUUACUUGUCGGUGGCGCAGCUAACGCAUUAAGCUUCCCGCCUGGGGAGUACGGUCGCAAGAUUAAAACUCAAAGGAAUUGACGGGGUCAUAGCUGUUUCCUG
rnacentral:rRNA from 1 species